GACGCAGACAGCGACACUAACAGUGAGAAGCCUCAGCACAGAGUUGCACAGAGAGACUGCCUCUGCAUUCAUGACACUGACAGCACAGACACCAUAACUCCAGCCAUGACAGGCUCUGCACACAGGGACCCAGGAAGUGAAGGGCACUGCAGACCAUACCUCUGACAGUGACAGACCCCGAACAUCCACAGAGACAGUAACAUCAGCACUGACAGGCUCAGCAAACAGAGAAAUAGGGAGGAAUGGGCUCUGUCGACAUCAUAACACCAACAGACACAGCGACAAGUACUGCAAACAGUGACACAAACAGUACUAGCCUCUCCCAAUAAUACCAAGCUCUGCAAAUAAAACUAAACUCCACAGAAUGACAAACAGUGCCACGGUCUACAAAUGGUGACACAGGCAAUGACAAGCUUUGCAAACAGCUCCAAGCUCUGCAAAUAAUGACACACAGGGCCAAGCUCUGCAAACACGUGUGAGGAGACAGAAGCACACAGAGGAGAAUUCACCUGCCAGGGCCAUAGAAAUCCUGCGCUGCUGUCCAGCACUGGGAUUCGUGUCUGCCCAACUCUCAGCAAACAGGCAUGAGGGCUGGAAGAGGAGAAAACACAACUGGCUAGGAGAAGGCAACCUUCCCUGCUGUGGUGAGCAACAGUCGUGAGCUGUCAGCUCCUCUGGGACAUCCUCUCCCUUUCAGUUCCCUGCCUGCAACACAGCUCUCCCUCUCUCCUGCCAGAGGAGGCUUGGGCUGGCAGAGAGAAGAGAAAGAAUAACCAGAGAGGGACCAGGCAGAGGGGAGAUGAAUCCAGCAUGUGCUGGUGCCUUCGAACUACACUGAGCUCAGACACGCAGGCUCUGAGGCUGGAACAGUGCUUGCCUCUUGAGGCUUCCUCCAGGCAGGGCCCGCAGAAGCUGCUGCUGCACUCUGAAUUCCAACACUCCAGAUGUGCGGGGGGCCAGAUGCACAAACCGAAGCCUAGAGCCCUGGGUUGAGAUGCCUGGGCAACAGAGAGCAAGGACUCUGCCUCAUUAUGGGAUGCAAUAAGCAGGUAACUUCUUUCAUUGAAAGACUGGAUUCUCCUCCAGGUCUUGAGUUGAGAUCCUGGGUCUGCAGCAGGUCAUCUGAGCAUCAAACAUAAUAUUAAUCUUCUAGGUAUCUUGACUGCUGUGUGCACAAAUACUGUGCAGUCAGG